AUACGGAGGGUGCAAGCGUUAAUCGGAAUUACUGGGCGUAAAGCGUGCGUAGGUGGUUUGUUAAGUUAGAUGUGAAAGCCCCGGGCUCAACCUGGGAACUGCAUUUGAAACUGGCAUACUAGAGUAUAGGAGAGGAAAGUGGAAUUCCAGGUGUAGCGGUGAAAUGCGUAGAUAUCUGAAGGAACAUCAAUGGCGAAGGCAGCUUUCUGGACUAAUACUGACACUGAGGUACGAAAGCGUGGGUAGCAAACAGGAUUAGAAACCCGGUAGUCC
rnacentral:rRNA from 1 species